rnacentral:lncRNA from 1 species
AACGUACGCAGCGGGGGCCGCCUCGGCUCCUGCGCGCGGCGGCGGCGGCCCCGCAGCGCCCUCCUGCGGCAACAGCCGGGGUUGGCGGAGCGGCGAGGAGAGAAAGGGAGAAGGGGCAGUAAUGGCGGCCGGCUAGUGCGCGGCUCAGCCGGGGAGGCGGCGGCGGCAGCGGGAGGAGUCGGCGCGGUUCUGUCUCGUGGUUCUGCCCGGCGGAGCGGCGUCCCCAAAGGACUUCUUCUCCUUCUUCCCCCUCCCCUUCCCUUUCCCUCCCUGCCCGAGCCCCCGCCUGUCCUCCCUCCCUCCCUUCUCCCUCCGCACCGGCGGCAGCGGCAGCAGCAGCGGCGGCGGCGGGUCCCCCCGCGUCCCCGUUCCCGGGGCCAUGGUGAACACCAGGAAGAGCUCCUUGCGCCCCCUGGGCAAAGCGGCGUCCGCAGCGGCCGGAGCCGGCAGCCAUUUCAUCUCGUCCCGGACCCGCUCUUCCAAAAGAGGCACCAAGGCAGAUACGGCCGGGAUAGAAGAGACGGCGGCGGCGAGGGUGAGGGUUGGCGGCGGGGAGCGGGCAGCGGACAACGUACGAGGAGAAGGGAACUGCGGGCGGAGGGGGGGGCGGCGGGCGGCGGCCGGGAACGGCUGAGGACAGCGCCGCUGCCACGGGGGGGGGAUCCGAGACGGUGCCGAGCUGAGCGGAGGAGGGGGAGCGGAGGGACGGCGGGGCGUGAGGGGACGAGGCGUUGUGUGGGUGGGGGGACAGGGAGGGGGGGAAACACGCGUUGUAGGGAAACCGCCGAGCGGGCGGCCCCUGCCAACAGGGUCAGGGGGCGGCCGAGGACACGGGAGGCGAAGUUGCGGCGGGGCCGCGGCGCUGAGGCUGGGCCGGCACGGCGGGCGGGGGCCGCGAUGCGGGCGGAGCGCCCCAUGCGGCACCGAGCGGAGCUGCGACGCCGCCAGACAAAAGUUGGGAGCCCCGCCGGCAGCAACUUGGCGAUCGUCACUCCCUCCUCGCUUCUUUUCCUUUUGCUUUUAUCGUAA